GCUGUAGCUCAGUGGAAGAGCAUCUGCUUGGCUUGCAGAAGGCCCCAGGUACAAUCCCCGACAUCUCCA